rnacentral:rRNA from 1 species
CAUUUGCGGACAUGACCGCGAUGUGCGCGGUAGUCCAAAGUCAAAAGUAGGCCGCUCGGCGACCGUUUCUACCCGAAAAUUAUAAAAAGACCGGGUAUAGGCAACGCAAGCGACCGCAGCGUUCCUCUGGAUAGAGGAGAGGAGAGACGAGACCUAAGGCCUUCGACGCCCUCGCCGCCGCCUGGACAUUAUUGACUUAGGUUUGUGCCUAGCUGGAGGCGACCGGCUCGUUUAGCAAGCACCCCCGUAGCGUCUAAAAACAUGUCGCGGUGCGGAGCUAGGCGCUACCGGAACGCCCACAACGACUUCUUUAGGAUGAGGGUCGACCGGCCUAGAAAGAGCCUUCCGCCACAACGCAGAGAGUCAUUACGAGAAUCACCUCCAGAGGUAGGAUCUGACCGCUAGGGGUUAUUGUUACCCGAGGUACCGAAAUGUCGUUCCAUGAACUUGUGGAGAGGUACAGGAGCACUCGAACAAUGUUCUUCGACGAGUUCCUGACCACACUUGAGUCAUUUGUAUUUAGUGUAGUACUUCAGUCGUAGACACGCAGGUCGAUGUCCCCGACCCGCUUGAAAGAGAAGGUUCUGCUGGUGGUCACUGCUUGGAAGUUAACUUAGUGUCUAGUUUCGCUUAACUCAGCGCAAAGCUUCCUUUUAUUCCUAAUGAAGGUUACGUAAACAACGAAAGCCGCAAGACAUAACACCGCGUGAAUAAGUAUUUGUAAAUCUAAUUCUAAUUUCUGCGACCACGGUCCCAACACCACCUUCGCGACUUGGGAGCUUGAGGUCUAUCUCGUCUCGCCCUACCUCAGUAAUAUUUCCUGUAGUUUCACAUUUUACCACGACCCACACGAAGACGUAACAUAUAUCUCUACAGAUCACCUCAACGAGUAAUCAACCGAGUUUAACGAUCAUCCUCAACGUAACAAUCAAGAAAUACAGAUGUGCUAACACAAAAGAAAACUCCCGUGAGGAGACAAUUUGUCCCCCUCAUGGGAAAUAUCACAAUUGCGCCAACAAGUAUUACGCCAACCAUAAACCAGACUAGUUGACACCAAGAAAUCUACAAACCCUUUAACCUCCUGGUUCACCAUAAGUAUUACAAUUGUUGGAGACGGCCGCUCAGGCCAAGUUUCCAACAAGAUCAGCUAGUGCGGUUCCCGACCAGGGGGGGUCGGCCGCCGCGGCCGAAGACGCCGCGCCGCGACCGUCCCCGGCUGGACGGCACGGAAACGGCCAUCUUCUUGUAGCCACCGUACACCGCUCCAAGAUGUUCUAGCUGUACUUUGCGCGGUACCGCAACGGUCCGUUCACGCCGGAGUGGUACGGGCGGUUGACGACU